rnacentral:rRNA from 1 species
GAGUUUGAUCCUGGCUCAGAUUGAACGCUGGCGGCAUGCCUUACACAUGCAAGUCGAACGGCAGCACGGGAGCUUGCUCCUGGUGGCGAGUGGCGAACGGGUGAGUAAUGCAUCGGAACGUAUCCUGGAGUGGGGGAUAACGUAGCGAAAGUUACGCUAAUACCGCAUAUUCUGUGAGCAGGAAAGCGGGGGACCUUCGGGCCUCGCGCUCUUGGAGCGGCCGAUGUCGGAUUAGCUAGUUGGUGAGGUAAAGGCUCACCAAGGCGACGAUCCGUAGCAGGUCUGAGAGGAUGAUCUGCCACACUGGAACUGAGACACGGUCCAGACUCCUACGGGAGCGGCAGUGGGGAAUUUUGGACAAUGGGGGCAACCCUGAUCCAGCCAUGCCGCGUGAGUGAAGAAGGCC